rnacentral:rRNA from 1 species
GACGAACGCUGGCGGCGUGCUUAACACAUGCAAGUCGAACGCUGAAGCCCUUUCGGGGGUGGAUGAGUGGCGAACGGGUGAGUAACACGUGGGUAAUCUGCCCUGUACUUCGGGAUAAGCCUUGGAAACGGGGUCUAAUACCGGAUAGGACCUGUCCUCGCAUGGGGGUGGGUGGAAAGUUCCGGCGGUAUGGGAUGAGCCCGCGGCCUAUCAGCUUGUUGGUGGGGUAGUGCCCUACUAAGGCGACGACGGGUAGCCGGCCUGGGAGGGUGACCGGUCACACUGGGACUGAGACACGGCCCAGACUCCUACGGGAGGCAGCAGUGGGGAAUCUUGCGCAAUGGGCGAAAGCCUGACGCAGCAACGCCGCGUGGGGGAUGACGGCCUUCGGGUUGUAAACCUCUUUCGACAUCGACGAAGGGGCCCUGUUGUGGGGUUUUGACGGUAGGUGUAGAAGAAGCACCGGCUAACUACGUGCCAGCCGCCGCCGUAAUAC